rnacentral:rRNA from 1 species
AACGAACGCUGGCGGCAGGCUUAACACAUGCAAGUCGAACGGGCGUAGCAAUACGUCAGUGGCGGACGGGUGAGUAACACGUGGGAAUAUGCCUUUCGGUUCGGAACAACUCGGGGAAAACUCGUGCUAAUUCCGGAUACGCCCUUACGGGGAAAGAUUUAUCGCCGAAGGAUUAGCCCGCGUUGGAUUAGCUAGUUGGUGAGGUAAUGGCCCACCAAGGCGACGAUCCAUAGCUGGUUUGAGAGAACGACCAGCCACACUGGGACUGAGACACGGCCCAGACUCCUACGGGAGGCAGCAGUGGGGAAUCUUGGACAAUGGAGGAAACUCUGAUCCAGCCAUGCCGCGUGAGUGAUGAAGGCCUUCGGUU